UGAAAAUGGUACACAGAAUUAUUCGUAUCGUGUUAUUGUUUUUUCCUACAAUAGUGAAAUGUACAAACCUCGAGGCAAGAGAUGAAAAAACUUUUCCGAAUGGAACGCUAGUUGGGACAUAUCAAUAUGUAGACGCACAGGGUAACCAAGUGCAUGUGAAGUACUUUGCUGAUGGAAAUAGUUACAGCAUCGACUUAAGAGGAUACAAAAUCCCAGAAACCGCAGCAGAGACUACCCAAAAUUUAACUGCUUCAGUAGCUGAGCCAACCACCGAGGUGACAGAUACAUUGGUACCCCUAAAAUUAGACUUUCCCGUUGUUGACAACAUUUACACAAUCGAAAACCCGCACAACUAUACUAAUGAUAUUUCUAACAAUAACCAACAAAAUGAAGAAGCGGAUGAUGAAGACCAGGCCGAAAAUUAUAAUUUUUAUAAUUCUGUGUUGAAAAUACCUACGAUUAAAACUGAUGAAAAG